AACGAACGCUGGCGGCAGGCUUAACACAUGCAAGUCGAGCGCCCCGCAAGGGGAGCGGCAGACGGGUGAGUAACGCGUGGGAAUCUACCCAUCUCUACGGAAUAACGCAUGGAAACGUGUGCUAAUACCGUAUACGUCCUCCGGGAGAAAGAUUUAUCGGAGAUGGAUGAGCCCGCGUUGGAUUAGCUAGUUGGGGGGGUAAAGGCCUACCACGGCGACGAUCCACAGCUGACCUGCGAGGAUGAGCAGCCAGACUGGGACUGAGCCACGGCCCAGACUCCUACGGUAGGCAUCGGGGGGGAAGAUUGGACAAUGGGCGCAAGCCUGAUCCAGCCAUGCCGCGUGAGUGAUGAAGGCCCUAGGGUUGUAAAGCUCUUUCACCGGUGAAGAUAAUGACGGUAACCGGAGAAGAAGCCCCGGCUAACUUCGUGCCAGCCGCCGCAGUAAAAC
rnacentral:rRNA from 1 species